AUUUAACAGGGGUGCCGAAAGGCUGAGACGCGUAAGCGAACCCUCGAACCUGAUUCGGGUCAUACCGGCGUAGGAAGUUAA
rnacentral:ncRNA from 1 species